AUGUAUAUAUAAAUUACUGAUUUAGUUCCUGCUCUAGUAUUGCCUGUUGGGUUUCUUCUGCAUAAUACAGUACAAGUUCACUAUCAGAGCAGUCCCUCACUGUAUGAGUUGAUCCCUCACUGUACAAGUUAAUCCCUCACUGUACGGGUUAAUCCCUCACUGUACGAGUUAAUCCCUCACUGUACGAGUUAAUCCCUCACUGUACGAGUUAAUCCCUCACUGUACAGGUUAAUACCUCACUGUACGAGUUAAUCCAUCACUGUACGAGUUAAUCCCUCACUGUACGAGUUAAUCCCUCGCUGUACGAGUUAAUCCCUCACUAUAUGAGUUAAUCCCUCACUGUACGAGUUGAUCCUUCACUGUACGAGUUAAUCCCUCACUGUAUGAGUUAAUCCCUCACUGUAUGAGUUAAUCCCUCACUGUACAGGUUAAUCCCUCACUGUACGAGUUAAUCCCUCACUGUACGAGUUAAUCCCUCACUGUACGAGUUAAUCCCUCACUGUAUGAGUUAAUCCCUCACUUUAUGAGUUAAUCCCUUACUGUAUGAGUUAAUCCUUCACUGUACGAGUUAAUCCCUCGCUGUACGAGUUAAUCCCUCACUGUAUGAGUUAAUCCCUCACUGUACGAGUUAAUCCCUCACUGUACGAGUUAAUCCCUCACUGUAUGAGUUAAUCCCUCACUGUACAGGUUAAUCCCUCACUGUAUGAGUUAAUCCCUCACUGUAUGAGUUAAUCCCUCACUGUAUGAGUUAAUCCCUCACUGUACGAGUUAAUCCCUCACUGUACGAGUUAAUCCCUCACUGUAUGAGUUGAUCCCUCACUGUAUGAGUUAAUCCCUCACUGUACGAGUUAAUCCCUCACUGUAUGAGUUAAUCCCUCACUGUAUGAGUUAAUCCCUCACUGUAUGAGUUAAUCCCUCACUGUACGAGUUAAUCCCUCACUGUACAGGUUAAUCCCUCACUGUAUGAGUUGAUCCCUCACUGUACAAGUUAAUCACUCACUAUACGAGUUAAUCCCUCACUGUACGAGUUAAUCCCUCACUGUACGAGUUAAUCCCUCACUGUAUGAGUUGAUCCCUCACUGUACAGGUUAAUCCCUCACUGUAUGAGUUAAUCCCUCACUGUACGAGUUAAUCCCUAACUGUUCGAGUUAAUCCCUCACUUUACGAGUUAAUCCAUCACUGUAUGAGUUAAUCCUUCACUGUAUGAGUUAAUCCUUCACUGUAUGAGUUAAUCCCUUACUGUACGAGUUAAUCCCUCACUGUACGAGUUAAUCCCUUACUGUACGAGUUAAUCCCUCACUGUACGAGUUGAUCCCUCACUGUACGAGUUGAUCCCUCACUGUACGAGUUAAUCCCUCACUAUAUGAGUUAAUCCCUCACUAUAUGAGUUAAUCCCUCACUGUACGAGUUAAUCCCUCACUGUACGAGUUAAUCCCUCACUGUAUGAGUUAAUCCAUCAUUGUAUGAGUUAAGUUCUCACAGAUGACCUGUAUUGUCUUGAUGUGUGAAGCGUUAAUGAAUGUAUUUUUAGAAUCAAAUGUCCAUGCACAGUUAAAUGUACCAUUCAUAAUUCAGACAUGAUCAGCAAUGUCGGCACCAUAUAUAGUACAUCAGAAAAGUAAAAAUGUUAACUUGGAUUUGACAAUUAUCAUAUAAACCCUAGUUUUGAUGUUUCCUGGAAAACAUUUUGUCAUAAAGUCCACUUCAUCAGAUAGCCAACAAAAGGCAAGUUUUAAAUGUUUUAAAUUGUACAGCCCGCGGGUAAUACAUAGGAAAUGAUGGUAAUUUGAUGGUAACAUAUUCACUGUUUGUACAGAGCAAGGGCAAUCUAAUCAAAACGUUAAAAUGGAUUUUAUCAUAUUUUGUCCAAUAGUCAAAGCUUGAUUUUGCUGUGGCAUUAAGACUCAAGUCUGCUUGUUUCCUUCUGAAACUAAUGUACUUUAAAGGUAUGCUAAUUAAUUUGUCACUAUAAAGAUAUGCUAAUUAAGUUGUCACUAUAAAGGUAUGCUAAUUAAGUUGUCACUACUGUGAAGGAUUGUUUGUUUGUUUGCUGGGUUAAUCAUUUUAAAACAGGGUAUCCUUGUAGUAGUUAGUGACUACCUCAAUGAGCAACAUACAGGAAGCUCUUUGCAUGCCCUUUAGAGCAGUGAGAGUAAAGUGUUGUGCCCAAAAACGCAACCACAAGUACAGCACAGACCGACUCCUUUCCUGAGAAAACAGACUGACACGGGUGGGGAGCUUCGAACCAUUCACCUCGGAUCUUCACCUGAGGUUACGUGGCCAGCGCUCGAACUGACUGAGCUAUCAUGGCCCCUACUGUGAAGGAGAUGAUAUAUAAGACAUUAUGAUAUCACUAAUAGUUUAUGUUUUCGAACAAGUUAUGGAAUUCUUCUAGAUAAUCAUCCAGUUCCCAUAUUUCUCUUACCUUGGACAGGGAUAUCCACAAUUUUACUGAUGUGAGAUUUUCUUAUCUUAACCUAGCUAUAGGUUGAGACUAGCUACACAUGCUCUUUGCACAUUCUCAAUAAUUGCAUUUUGUCACAGCAACAAUACAAUGAUGUCACUCUGACAAUUUAAUCUGACAUGUCAUGUCAACAUUUCCUUGCAAUGAUGUAACAUCCACAGUACAUACAUAGGAG